rnacentral:lncRNA from 1 species
UACUGAGAAGUAAUACCUAGCAUUGUCUCUAAACUGGUAACUAAUAUAUACACAGAGUGCAUGGAGCUAUCAGUGUAUUCUAAAUACAGCUUUAUAAGGGCUGGAGAGUGAAGAGCACUGAGUGCACGUCCAGAGGGCCUGAGUUCAAUUCCCAGCAACCACAUGGUGGCUUACAACCAUCUGUAAUGGGAUCUGAUGCCUUCUUCUGGUGUGUCUGACAGCUAUAGUAAACUCAUUUAUAUAAAUUAAUCUUUAAAGAAAAUUUAAAAAUACAACUUUAUAGAUACAAACAGAUUAUAAGAAAUUAUCCAUGCAUUCUAAAUCUUAGCAAUUUCUUAGUUGUGAUAUAGUGUUUAAAUCUCUUUUACAUUAUUACUUACUCAGUUAACCAAAACAACAACAACAACAACAACAAAAACGCUGGUAUUUCUUUUGUCCCAUUAACGUUACCUAUAUAUCAUUUUUUAAAUUAAGAAAAACCAACAGUUACCAUAUGCUAACUUAAAUCUUUUCACAUUCUUAUUUUAUGUGUACAUAUGUGUUUGUGGCAUAUGUACCUGCUGUGCUUGUAUGUGUGUGCAUGCAUAGGGGGUGUGUGGAGAACACAGGUUGAUCUGGGUUUACAGGCCGCCCACCAUGCCCACCGCCAAAACCCAGUGCUCAUGCGGGGACGGCAGGUGCUCUACCCUGAGGCAUCUCUCCACCCUUCGUUUGUUAGUUUUUAAUUUAUUUGGUUUAUUUUAUUUGGAUAGUAUUAUCUAAAACAAGUUUCUUUUAGUUGAUAAACAGGAGGUAAGCUGUGCUGCCAUUAUUUACAUACUUGUUCACUAGUCCUGAUGAACUCUUGGUAGAUUUGAAAAAUAGUAGUAUAUUCUGUUACUCUGUGUGACUAAAUGAGUUUCAGGAGUAUUUUAACAGUUUAUAUUUGGGGAGUUUACAAUAAGCCAUGUAUAUAUGCACACUCUUGCAUGUGCAUACAUGCGUGCGCAUGCACACACACACAUGCACGCACAUGCACGCACACACAUCCACAUGCACACACACACAUACACUCCCUGCCACUUGGAGGAUGCUGUGGAUCAGCAGCCGUAGCAGUACCUGGAAGUUGUUAGAAGUGUGGAAUCUUGAACUUUGCAAAGUAAAGCAGCGUAUUAACAAACUGUCACGUAACUCAGGUGUGUGAAAGGAUGACGUGUGGUGUGCUGUCGAGAGGGUCCGCAAGGGUCUUCUCCACUGGAAGAUUGUUGAUUGAACUGGGAUUGUAUUUCUUUAAUGGCUUGUUUCUCUUCUUGAGUCCUCUUUAGUAAUUUGUAUGUGGUUUCCAGUUUUCUAGGCUUAGAGAUGUCUGCAGUGUUUCCAUGCAUAAGGUCAUAUAGACUGGAUUUGGCUUGAAGGCUUCUCCCUGACAAUUCUAUGUUGUUGCCUUUUUUGAUUUUAAGAUGUGUGGCUCUGUAAGAUACAUUCCACUUGAGGGAAGAGAACUUACCUGAGCCUUUGAUGGUCAUUUAACAUUGUACUGGCUAUGAGGAAGAGGGCUGGGCCCUUAAGUUUAGAACCUUUAAAAACUGUUGCUUUGGAACCUGUUGCAUGCAUGGCGCUCAUGUAGGUCAGGGGACAGCUGUAGGAGGCAGUUCUCCACCACGUCAGUCCAGGAAUUGAUUCAGAUUGUCAGCCGUGGUGGCAAGUGUCUUGCCCACUAGGGCUUCUUGCAAGCCCAAGACCUUUUUCUAACUACCAAACUGUAAAUUUACAAAUGACAUAAAGCAGCACUUGAGCUCAAUGACAUUAAAGAGAACGGUGGCUGCUUUGCCGAAUCCAAGCCACGAGCAUCCGGUGUUUGGAUCUUACCAUUUAGAUUUUACUUUUGUAUUUUGGCCUAAGUAAUUCUAAUACACACUAUGCCUACCCUAAUCCAAUUAAAACAUCAGGAAUAGAAAAAAAAAAGUCUCAGUAGGCUUUUGAUACAGUUGAAAUAUGAAAGCUGAUAAUGUGCAUAUCUUCUUAUGCAGCUCCUAAUUUGCACAUUGGCAGCCAAACUUGUGGCACAGUUUAAGUGGUACUACUUGGUGCCAGCAGAAUAAUUUAGUCAUAAAAUUUCGUGACAGAAAUUUUCAGAAUUUACUUAGGCUAAUCUUUUAAGAGUAUUAUCAAAAUGAAAAUAAGAUUAGGGUCUAGAGAGAUGACUCAUUGGUUCAAAGCCCUUACAGUUCUACAAGAGGACCUGGGUUCAGUUCACAGAAUCCACAUGGUGUUUCACAACUGCCUUUAAUUCCAGUUCCAAAGGAUCUCACACCCUCUUCUAGCCGCCAAGGGCACUGGAGGCUACAUGCAGGCUAAGCAGUCACACACAUAAAAUAAAAAUAAAUAAAUCCUUUUAAAAAAUAAAAUGAAAGGGGGAGGGGGAGGGAUAGGGGUUCCCAGAGGGGAGACCUGGAAAGGGGAUAACAUUUGAAACGUAAAUAAAAUAGCCAAUAAAAAAAGUGCUGAGAAAAAAAUAAAUAAUACAAUGAAACUAAAAAAUCAUGGUGAAGGUUUGCUGAUUCUCCCAAAGGUGAGAGGUGUGUGUUGAGGAUCUAAGGCAGUGUCCUCCCAGUCAUCUGUGUUGGCUGGGUAACUCCUAGGCAGUGGCUAGGACUCUCCUGGGCCUUAGGACUGUGUUUAGCAGCACUUUUAGUGCUGUCCGUUAGAUGGCAGUAUUGUUCUCAGCAUACC